AUUGAACGCUGGCGGCAGGCCUAACACAUGCAAGUCGAGCGAGCGGCGGACGGGUGAGUAAUGCCUGGGAAUUGCCCAGUCGAGGGGGAUAACAGUUGGAAACGACUGCUAAUACCUCAUACGGCUGGAUUGCCAGGGGGGAUUAGCGAGUUGGUUAGGUAAGGGCUCACCAAGGCGACGUUCCCUAGCUGGUCUGAGAGGAUGAUCAGCCACCCUGGAACUGAGACACGGUCCAGACUCCUACGGGAGGCAGCAGUGGGGAAUAUUGCACCAUGGGGGAAACCCUUAUGCAGCCAUGCCGCGUGUGUGAAGAAGGCCUUCGGGUUGUAAAGCACUUUCAGCGAGGAGGCGUUACUCGCAGAAGAAGCACCGGCUAACUCCGUGCCAGCAGCCGCGGUAAUUC
rnacentral:rRNA from 1 species